CUGACAUUGGUUGCUGAUGCUGGGAUUUCUGAGACUCCUCAAACUUUCAUACAACCUUGGUGGGGGUCUCCCAUCCUAAGAUUAACCAAUGACAAUCCUGCUUAGCUUCCACCAGCUAAGAGAGAGACCAGCCACUUAGGUUUCCAUUUGCU
rnacentral:snRNA from 1 species